CGCAGCAAUCGCGAGCAAAGUGAAAAUGCUCACGAGUUUGAUCACUUUUAUACCGCACCGGGGGUUGGUAUAUGGGUGAGCAAAAUAGGGCCGUUGCCGUCGGGACCGAUAAAAUCACCAAAUUUGCUCACAAGAAAGGGGCGAGAGCAAACAGGCACUGAAAAAAUUUUACCGUUUAAUGCUGAGUUAAACAAACGACGUUCAGCGUGUAGAGUUUGUUUACAUUCCAUUUUGCGCAUCGGGUCGAACUGGUCCACUGAACACCGGCCGUGGUGGAACCGGCAGACUCGUUUACGGGAAGAGCAGAAAUUUUUCCAAUCAAGGUGCAUCUCCCAGGGUUAACAACAACGGAACUCCGAACCAGAAUCAUGGCCUUCAAUAACUUCAAAUCAAUCUUCGAAGUAACAGCAACAUCAACCACAAUCAGUUCAAAAAACAAAGAAAUUUUCAUUCGUGAUUUCAUCCGAAGCUCCAUGGUUCGCCGAUUCGACCCGAAGGAUUGCUAAAAGGAAAAAAGUCUCCGUUCUCGAAUUUCAAUAUUCGCUGGUGGCCGAUUCUGAUAAACAUUGUUCCGGUCGUGUAGCUGUGAUUUUAUUGGUCUGUGUGCUCUACGCAUAGCGAACCAGAAUACAUACAAAAAUAGGAAAAAUGAAAAUCAGCGCUUCUAAAAUAUCAGGUUCGUCUGCAAAAUGCUUUCGGGGAUACAAUUUGAUAUCGUUUGUUGGCAUUGGAAACGUCUUCCGGAAAGUCGAACAACUUAACCCAGUUGGAGGACUAGGUCAGCUUCAAAUUGGCCUUCUAAUCAGUGAGCAGCUAAUCGAUUGAGACAGUGGCUCAAAAACAUAAUAGGAUGGCGUACUGGAUGAUGAUGUAUGUGUCGAACAACAGUGCAAACAUGUUAAAUUUGAAAUAUUUGUUAAGUGUUGUUUUCUACUAUUGAACUGUAAUAAAUAAUGUAUCAUAAA